rnacentral:rRNA from 1 species
GAUGAACGCUGACAGAAUGCUUAACACAUGCAAGUCUUUGGCGAAGCUGUGCUUGCACAGCCUAGCCAAGGCGGACGGGUGAGUAACGCGUAAGGAACUUGCCCUGCAGUCAGGGAUAACAGACGGAAACGACUGAUAAGACCUGGUAAAGUCAGGCGGACUCAUGUCCAGCCUGAUGAAAAGAGAUGCUGCAGGAGAGCCUUGCGUCCUAUUAGCUUGUUGGUGGGGUAACGGCCCACCAAGGCGAUGAUAGGUAGCCGGCCUGAGAGGGUGGACGGCCACAAGGGGACUGAGAUACGGCCCUUACUCCUACGGGAGGCAGCAGUGGGGAAUAUUGGACAAUGGGGGCAACCCUGAUCCAGCAAUUCUGUGUGCACGAUGAAGGUUUUCGGAUUGUAAAGUGCUGUCAGCAGGGAAGAAAAAAAUGACGGUACCUGCAGAAGAAGCGACGGCUAAAUACGUG